UACGUAGGGUGCAAGCGUUGUCCGGAAUUAUUGGGCGUAAAGGGCUCGUAGGCGGUCCGUCACGUCGGGAGUGAAAACUUGGGGCUUAACCCCAAGCCUGCUUCCGAUACGGGCGGACUAGAGGUAGGCAGGGGAGAACGGAAUUCCUGGUGUAGCGGUGGAAUGCGCAGAUAUCAGGAGGAACACCAAUAGCGAAGGCAGCUCGCUGGGACGUUACUGACACUGAGAUGCGAAAGCGUGGGGAGCAAACAGG
rnacentral:rRNA from 1 species